CCUCAGAGGAGGUUGGUCACGCGCCGAACUGCAUUUUGGGUAAAUAUCACACUGUGCUUCAGUUUACACGUUCUCUCAUGCUGUUCGGAUCUCUGGAAAGGCGACUGAAGAUCCGUUAAAAGCUGCUCCUCAACUCCUUGGAUUACCUUACCUACGCACGAUGAUCGAUAAAGACUAGGAAAACGUGGGGGUUUUUUGCGAUCGAGUCCCAGAGUGAAGAUAUCUGUCACGUGACGAGACCAUAAUCAAACAUGUCGAAAUGAACGUCGAAGCCCUUUAUAACUUUCCUUUAUGGCUAUUCAGUUGGCCAGUUAAACCACUAAAACUACUGGAAAAAUUGGGCCAAUAAUAUUGUUAUUUGUCACGACUGACGUAUGGAACAUUACUAAAGUUUAUCAAAUCUUCAUCUUUGACAAGACUGGCACAGUGCUGUGAAGUCACAGCACGGUGACUUCACGGUGACUUCACGUCAGGGCUCUCUCUGGAUAGAAUUCACUGCAAGAGGGCAAUGCCUGCUCCAGAUCAGAAGGAGGUUCUGUGCAUUGAAUUGGCUUACUAAACCUCUGCCCUAGUGGGACUUUGGAGUGCUCAACUGGCUCUCUCUGGCAUGUUAAACACCUGCAGCAUAGUGCUUUCCUCCGCAGAAUCUGGUCCAUCGCUGCACAAAAGAGGCUGUUUAUCUAGAAAAAAAUAAUUUUUAUCUCGGUUUACAACAAAGACUAACGAUUGAACUUCUUCCACGUAAUACAUGAGACAAUAGCCACAUAAAGAGUGUUGACUUAGGAGGAAUAAUUUAUAACAUUACUAGAGGCUUUGUAGCUUAGGCAGUUUUCCUGCAAUAAUUUCACUCGUCCUAUUUCUCUACAAAGAGAUAUGGGUUUGCAGUGUACCUUCAUCUUGCUCAACGGCUUCCUUUCUGGGUCUGCAUAUUUUUCCAAUC
rnacentral:lncRNA from 1 species